rnacentral:rRNA from 1 species
GACGAACGCUGGCGGCGUGCUUAACACAUGCAAGUCGAACGGAAAGGCCUUUUCGGAGGUACUCGAGUGGCGCACGGGUGAGUAACACGUGGGUGAUCUGCCCUGCACUCUGGGAUAAGCCUGGGAAACUGGGUCUAAUACCGGAUAGGACCGCACUUUAGUGUGUGUGGUGGAAAGUUUUUUCGGUGUAGGAUGAGCCCGCGGCCUAUCAGCUUGUUGGUGGGGUAAUGGCCUACCAAGGCGGCGACGGGUAGCCGGACUGAGAGGUUGGUCGGCCACAUUGGGACUGAGAUACGGCCCAGACUCCUACGGGAGGCAGCAGUGGGGAAUAUUGCACAAUGGGCGCAAGCCUGAUGCAGCGACGCCGCGUGGGGGAUGACGGCCUUCGGGUUGUAAACUCCCUUCGCCAGGGACGAAGCGUUUUGUGACGGUACCUGGAGAAGAAGCACCGGCUAACUACGUG